rfam:Poecilia formosa, whole genome shotgun sequence.
GCCCCAGUGGCCCCAGUGAUAAGGCACUGGCCUCCUAAGCCAGGAAUUGUGGGUUUGAGUCCCAUCUGGGGUG